CAGUAGCCGCGGUAAUACGUAGGGUGCGAGCGUUGUCCGGAUUUAUUGGGCGUAAAGCGAGCGCAGGCGGUUAGAUAAGUCUGAAGUUAAAGGCUGUGGCUUAACCAUAGUACGCUUUGGAAACUGUUUAACUUGAGUGCAAGAGGGGAGAGUGGAAUUCCAUGUGUAGCGGUGAAAUGCGUAGAUAUAUGGAGGAACACCGGUGGCGAAAGCGGCUCUCUGGCUUGUAACUGACGCUGAGGCUCGAAAGCGUGGGGAGCAAACAGGAUUAGAUACCCCGGUAGUCCCUGUCUCUUAUACA
rnacentral:rRNA from 1 species